UGGGGAAUUUUGGACAAUGGGCGAAAGCCUGAUCCAGCAAUGCCGCGUGUGUGAAGAAGGCCUUCGGGUUGUAAAGCACUUUUGUCCGGAAAGAAAUCCUUGGCUCUAAUACAGUCGGGGGAUGACGGUACCGGAAGAAUAAGCACCGGCUAACUACGUGCCAGCAGCCGCGGUAAUACGUAGGGUGCAAGCGUUAAUCGGAAUUACUGGGCGUAAAGCGUGCGCAGGCGGUUUGCUAAGACCGAUGUGAAAUCCCCGGGCUCAACCUGGGAACUGCAUUGGUGACUGGCAGGCUAGAGUAUGGCAGAGGGGGGUAGAAUUUCACGUGUAGCAGUGAAAUGCGUAGAGAUGUGGAGGAAUACCGAUGGCGAAGGCAGCCCCCUGGGCCAAUACUGACGCUCAUGCGCGAAAGCGUGGGGAGCAAACAGGAUUAGAUACCCUGGUAGUCCACGCCCUAAACGAUGUCAACUAGUUGUUGGGGAUUCAUUUCCUUAGUAACGUAGCUAACGCGUGAAGUUGACCGCCU
rnacentral:rRNA from 1 species